GGCUGAUAACGAAGGCUGAGUCCUUGAUUUAGCUGUUUGAGUUAGCCCGACAUCACUGCACCCCUUUUUCUCUUCUAGCUCCUCCUCCUGGGGAAACCUACAUGGGCCUGGCUUCUUUCUGUCCAGCAGAGGUGCAGGUGCUCUGGAUCCUGGGCUUGGCAGGAGGGCAGGGGCGCCCUGCCCCAGACUCACAUCAUCGGAGGCACAGCCAGCACAUCUGGAGAGUGAUGCUGACACCAGGCUCCAAAGCCAUUACCAUAGCCACCGAUCCCGCGGUAUCCGAGUCCGAUUUGAACCCCGCUAGCUCCGUGCAAACAGACGAAGGCGAG
rnacentral:lncRNA from 1 species